rnacentral:miRNA from 12 species
UACUUGAGAGGGUGACAUUCA